GCAGAGGCGGAGCCCACCGGGAUCCUGGCUCCUCCUGGGAAACUCAUCUCUCAGAGCCUUGGAUAAACCAGGGGGAAGCAUAAAAUGUCAACUAAUUCUGAAGUAGAUACAGCAAGACGCAACCUUGUCUAGUUUGUUUUAAUUUUUUUAAUUAAAAAAAAAUGUGUGCAUGUGGUUUGUGUGCAUGUAUGACGGUGUACCACAUAUAUGUAGUGCCCUGGAGGCCAAAAGAUGCCGGGACCCCUGAAACUGGAGUUACAGAUGGCUGUGAGCCACCCAUGUGGGUGCUGGGAAUCAAACCUGGGUCUUCUGCAAGAGCAACAAGCGCUCUUAACCAAUGAACUAUCUCUCCAGACCCAUUUCUUUCUUUUUUUUUGAUAACUUUGCACUGUCUUUAAGCAAGGGAACAAGUCAUGGAAUCAUCAGAACGAGAGCCAAAGAACCAGCGCAGAGGAUAAAGAUAGGGAGGAAGCAAAACAACAACAACAACAACAACAAAAACAAAAAAACAAAAAAAAAUAACCCAAAAACAAACAAACAAAAAACAGUCAAGUGAUCGGGGAGGGGAAGUGGAUGAAACGGAGAUGGGUGAAUCCAGAGGGACCCAGGAUAUGAGAAGUGUUAAACUCAUCGCUGGCAUGUGUUCAAGGUCAGCUUGGGCUACUGAUGAAUUUCCAAGACCAACACCUGU
rnacentral:lncRNA from 1 species